rnacentral:rRNA from 1 species
GACGAACCGUGCGAACGUUGUUCGGAAUCACUGGGCUUAAAGGGCGCGUAGGCGGGCUGUCAAGUCUGGGGUGAAAUCCCACGGCUCAACCGUGGAACGGCCUCAGAUACUGACGGCCUCGAGGAAGGUAGGGGCAUGCGGAACUGUAGGUGGAGCGGUGAAAUGCGUUGAUAUCUACAGGAACUCCGGUGGCGAAAGCGGCGUGCUGGACCUUUUCUGACGCUGAGGCGCGAAAGCUAGGGGAGCAAACGGG